GAAGGGUAACAGCUCAAAUUUGAAAUCUGGCUCUUGCGGAGUCCGAGUUGUAAUUUGUAGAAGAUGCUUUGGGUUGUGGGUUCGGCCUAAGUUCCUUGGAACAGGACGUCAUAGAGGGUGAGAAUCCCGUAUGUGGCCGAGGCCCGCGCCUAUGUAAAGCUCUUUCAACGAGUCGAGUUGUUUGGGAAUGCAGCUCAAAAUGGGUGGUAAAUUUCAUCUAAAGCUAAAUAUGGGCCAGAGACCGAUAGCGCACAAGUAGAGUGAUCGAAAGAUGAAAAGCACUUUGGAAAGAGAGUUAAACAGUACGUGAAAUUGUUGAAAGGGAAGCGCUUGCAACCAGACUUGGGCGCUGCCGAUCACCUUGAGUUUUCUCGAGUGCACUCGACAGCGCACAGGCCAGCAUCGGUUCGGGUGGCUGGAUAAAGGCCGUAGGAAUGUGGCUCUCUUCGGGGAGUGUUAUAGCCUACGGUGCCAUGCAGCCCAGCCGGACCGAGGACCGCGCCUUCGGGCUAGGAUGCUGGCGUAAUGGUUGUAAGCGACCCGUCUUGAAACACGGACCAAGGAGUCUAACAUCUAUGCGAGUGUUUGGGUGGUAAACCCAUACGCGGAAUGAAAGUGAACGUAGGUGAGAACCCCUUUGGGGCGCAUCAUCGACCGAUCCUGAUGUCUUCGGAUGGAUUUGAGUAAGAGCAUAGCUGUUGGGACCCGAAAGAUGGUGAACUAUGCCUGAAUAGGGUGAAGCCAGAGGAAACUCUGGUGGAGGCUCGCAGCGGUUCUGACGUGCAAAUCGAUCGUCAAAUUUGGGCAUAGGGGCGAAAGACUAAUCGAACCAUCUAGUAGCUGGUCCUGCCAAAUU
rnacentral:rRNA from 1 species